GAGAACAUUCUAGAGAUUGCCUGGUGCCACUCUCCCUGCUGAUACCGCCAGCCCCAGGAUGCCGGGACCUGGAGGUUGCAGCAUCCGCCUCCACCUCCCUCUCGGCCUGGAUAUAAGCGCCCCUUCGGUCCUGUUUUCCUUGCACAGUUGGCUUCGUCGCAGCCCGGGGCGAGCAGCGUUGGGUUUAUGUCUUUAUUGGACAAAAACGAGCUGUUGCGCAGCCACUGGUACCUGUAUUGGGGAAACAUAGCAUACAAGCAAGAACCUUACAGCCUCAGUGGUGAAAAUUUUUUCAUGUCAGAGACCGAGAACUCUUGCAGUUGUUUAUGUCACCCCGUCUUCUCCAGACAGAAGAUACCAAAAAACUGCAAUCAAAGAUCUCUUCAUCUUAUUGAUAAAGCUACUAAUAAGGCAAAAUGUCUGUCAACUUCAACCACAGUGUUUCAGAUCAGUUCUAUCACUACAAAAUGCCCUGUCUGAUUGCCAAGGUGGAGGGCAAAGGAAAUGGAAUAAAGACGGUUAUAGUCAACAUGGUUGAUGUUGCAAAGGCGCUUAAUCGGCCUCCAACGUAUCCUACCAAAUUUUUUGGUUGUGAGCUGGGAGCACAGACCCAGUUUGAUGUUAAGAAUGACUGUUACAUUGUAAAUGGAUCUCAUGAGGCGAAUAAGCUGCCAGACAUGUUGGAUGGAUUCAUUAAAAAAUUUGUUCUCUGUCCUGAGUGUGAGAAUCCUGAAACUGAUCUGCAUGUCAAUCCUAAGAAACAAACUAUAGGUAACCCUUGCAAAGCCUGUGGCUAUCGAGGCAUGCUUGACACAAACCAUAAACUCUGCACAUUCGUUCUCAAAAACCCACCUGAAAGUGGUGACACUGGUACAGGAAAGAAAGAAAAGGAGAGGAAGAACAGAAAAGGCAAGGACAAAGAGAAUGGUUCUGUGUCCAGCAAUGAGACACUUCCGCCCCCUCCACCAGAGGAGAUUACUCCUCCACAGGUUGUGGAGGAGGAGGAUGAUGAUGACUGGGGUGAGGACACAACAGAAGAAGCCCAGAGGCAUAGAAUGGAUGAAAUCAGUGACCAUGCAAAGAACCUCAAGCUUAGUGAAGACUUGGAAAGAAUCGUGGAGGAGAGAGUCAACAUAUUGUUUGAUUUUGUGAAGAAAAAGAAGGAAGAAGAUGUCAUUGAUACUUUGGACAAAGACGUAGCAGAAGCAGAGAGACUGGAUGUAAAGGCUAUGGGCUCACUAGUUCUCACUGAAGUGCUUUUUGAUGAAAAGAUUCGUGAACAAAUAAGAAAAUACAGACAUCACUUCCUUCAUUUCUGCCACAACAACAAGAAAGCUCAGAGGUACCUUCUCCAUGGCUUUGAGUGUGUAGUAGCCAUGCAUCAGUCUCAGCUUAUUUCGAAAAUACCACAUAUUUUGAAGGAAAUGUAUGAUGCAGAUCUUCUGGAAGAAGAAGUCAUCCUUAGCUGGGCAGAAAAGGCCUCAAAGAAAUACGUUUCAAAGGAGCUUGCCAAAGAAAUCCGUGUCAAAGCAGAACCAUUUAUUAAAUGGCUAAAGGAAGCUGAAGAAGAAUCUUCCGGUAAUGAAGAAGAGGAUGAAGAUGAAAACAUAGAUGUGGUGUACUCUACAACUGCCAGUGAACCUAAAGUUGAAACUGUGAAGCCUGCAAACAAUAAAGUCGACGAUAUUGAUUUUGAUGUUGUAUCACAUUUAAAGUGAUACAACACAGCUUCCAGCAUAGUAAUGCAAACUUCUCUGCAUUUUCUGCCAGAAGUGUGAUUUGUAUGUGCACAAGCUGAAAUGGCUUAACAUCCUGCUACUCUUUGUACUCUAAAAUGUAUCUUUUUACUGUGACUGGUCUUGUGUAACUAAACCUAAUACCAAGGAGUCAGCAGGUCAGUGAACUGAUCUAGUUUGCAACUGGCCUGUUCUAUUUUGUUUUUCUAACUUGCGUUGGACACAUACUUGGAGCACAUUUAUACAGUUGUGGAAAUAAAGGAUUUGGUUUUGGUCAAUCU